UACGUAGGGUGCAAGCGUUGUCCGGAAUUAUUGGGCGUAAAGAGCUUGUAGGCGGUUUGUCGCGUUUGCUGUGAAAUUUCGGGGCUCAACCCCGAACUUGCAGUGGGUACGGGCAGACUAGAGUGUGGUAGGGGAGACUGGAAUUCCUGGUGUAGCGGUGAAAUGCGCAGAUAUCAGGAGGAACACCGAUGGCGAAGGCAGGUCUCUGGGCCACUACUGACGCUGAGAAGCGAAAGCAUGGGGAGCGAACAGG
rnacentral:rRNA from 1 species